UUAGUUAGCUUUUAGUUCUAUUUUUCUUGUCACAAAAUGCUUAAAUAUUGAAUUUCAAAGCAAAAUAUCGAUUUCUAAUAUUUUAAAACUAACAAGACUAAUUAAAUAGUCUUCUUUCAUGGAUUACAACUCUAGAGAACAAAAAAAAAAAACUAUAAAAAAAAAAGUAUUACAACCGAUUGAACAGAAAACAAAGACUAUAACAAAGAUGAAGGAAUUACAAAGGCCCUUGAUUCUUUGAUGUUUUUACUAUUUUGCCAUUUCCUACAUUACAUCUUCUUCUAGAAAUAGUAGGCUUUUUAAUAGUAGAGAGAUCCUGUAAAAACAAAAACAAUAAAUAUUUGGUUAAUUUUCAAAAAAUAUAUAAUAAUCUUUUUUGUAUAUUUGAAUGAUAGCCAAAAAGAAGCAGCACCUUGCCACCAAUUCCCCCUUGAAGCACUGGUUCCAUUAGGAUCCUGGUUAUUCGAUGAUUCUGUUCCUGUGUACUUGCUGCAGUGCGUUGUGUCUUUUGCUAAGCCCUGAAUUUGAAAAACUAGAAUUAAACGAUAGAAGCAAUUCAACAAUUCAAUUAUUAACUCAAUCUGUUGUAAAUGGGGAUUAAAUCGUCGUUAUGAAUUGAUAGAUAGAAUCUGUCAGAAAUUAAGGUGAUGCAUGAAGAAAUAGAGGUGAUGAAUUGGAAAACAUGGAGGUGUACCGUGGAAGAAGGGCCGAAAACAGAGCCAAAACGGCCGGAGGAGGAGGAGGAGGAGCCGCCGUCCUUAGGGCCGAAGAGAGCUUCUGUGAAUGAUGAAGACGAAGGAUUUCCUGAUUCCUGCUUCUUGCUCUCCAUUAUCACUCGAUUCGUCUCUUGCUUAUAGAAAACCUAACAAAAAUGAAUCAGCUUUCUUGUGUGAUUAUCCACACAAACAAAGCGAAACUAUGCAGAGACGAGUAUAAGUUAAGAUGAAUGAAUCUCGCCGGAGAGAGUGUGGAAACGUUUGAAUUUUGAGAUUUGAGGAUGAGAGAUGGUGAGGGAGUGGAAGAGAGGAGAUCGUAAGAUUGUGGUUUGAUGGAGAGUAAUCAAACGGAUUUUCA
rnacentral:lncRNA from 1 species